AUCCUGGCUUAGGACGAACGCUGGCGGCGUGCUUAACACAUGCAAGUCGAACGAGGUUAGAGACUCGGUUUUGACCGAGUGGCGGACGGGUGAGUAACGCGUGAGCAAUCUGUCCCAGACAGGGGGAUAACAACUGGAAACAGUUGCUAAUACCGCAUAAGACCACGAAGUCGCAUGGCUUUGAGGUAAAAGGAGUAAUCCGGUUUGGGGUGAGUUCGCGUCUGAUUAGAUAGUUGGCGAGGUAACGGCUCACCAAGUCGACGAUCAGUAGCCGACCUGAGAGGGUGACCGGCCACAUUGGGACUGAGACACGGCCCAGACUCCUACGGGAGGCAGCAGUGGGGAAUAAUUGGGCAAUGGGGGAAACCCUGACCCAGCAACGCCGCGUGAGGGAAGAAGGUUUUCGGAUUGUAAACCUCUGUCCUUGGGGACGAACAAAUGACGGUACCCGAGGAGGAAGCCCCGGCUAACUACGUGCCAGCCGCCGC
rnacentral:rRNA from 1 species